AGGGCGCACGGUGGAUGCCUUGGCACUAGAAGCCGAAGAAGGACGUGACUAACGACGAAAUGCUUUGGGGAGCUGUAAGUAAGCGCUGAUCCAGAGAUGUCCGAAUGGGGGAACCCACUAGUUAAUGACUAGUAUCCAUAUCUGUUAAGGAUAUGAGAAGGAAGACGCAGUGAACUGAAACAUCUAAGUAGCUGCAGGAAGAGAAAGCAAAAGCGAUUGCCUUAGUAGCGGCGAGCGAAACGGCAGGAGGGCAAACCGAAGUGUUUACACUUCGGGGUUGUAGGACUGCGAUAUAGGAUUAAUCAUUAUAGAAGAAUUACCUGGGAAGGUAAGCCAAAGAGAGUAACAGCCUCGUAUUUAAAAUGAUAGAUUAACCUUAGCAGUAUCCUGAGUACGGCGAGACACGCGAAAUCUCGUCGGAAUCUGGGAGGACCAUCUCCCAACCCUAAAUACUCUCUAGUGACCGAUAGUGAACCAGUACCGUGAGGGAAAGGUGAAAAGCACCCCGGGAGGGGAGUGAAAUAGAACCUGAAACCGUGUGCCUACAACAAGUUCGAGCCCGUUAAUGGGUGAGAGCGUGCCUUUUGUAGAAUGAACCGGCGAGUUACGAUAUGAUGCGAGGUUAAGUUGAAGAGACGGAGCCGUAGGGAAACCGAGUCUUAAUAGGGCGCCAUAGUAUCAUGUUGUAGACCCGAAACCAUGUGACCUACCCAUGAGCAGGUUGAAGGUGAGGUAAAACUCACUGGAGGACCGAACCAGGGCACGUUGAAAAGUGCUUGGAUGACUUGUGGGUAGCGGAGAAAUUCCAAACGAACUUGGAGAUAGCUGGUUCUCUCCGAAAUAGCUUUAGGGCUAGCGUCGAUGUUAAGUCUCUUGGAGGUAGAGCACUGUUUGGGUGAGGGGUCCAUCCCGGAUUACCAAUCUCAGAUAAACUCCGAAUGCCAACGAGAUAUAAUCGGCAGUCAGACUGCGAGUGCUAAGAUCCGUAGUCGAAAGGGAAACAGCCCAGACCACCAGCUAAGGUCCCAAAAUAUAUGUUAAGUGGAAAAGGAUGUGGGGUUGCACAGACAACUAGGAUGUUAGCUUAGAAGCAGCUAUUCAUUCAAAGAGUGCGUAAUAGCUCACUAGUCGAGUGACCCUGCGCCGAAAAUGUACCGGGGCUAAAACAUAUUACCGAAGCUGUGGAUGACACAAAAGUGUCAUGGUAGGAGAGCGUUCUAUGUGUGAAGAAGGUGUACCGUGAGGAGCGCUGGAACGCAUAGAAGUGAGAAUGCCGGUAUGAGUAGCGCAAGACAGGUGAGAAUCCUGUCCACCGUAAGACUAAGGUUUCCAGGGGAAGGCUCGUCCGCCCUGGGUUAGUCGGGACCUAAGGAGAGACCGAAAGGUGUAUCCGAUGGACAACAGGUUGAUAUUCCUGUACUAGAGUAUAUAGUGAUGGAGGGACGCAGUAGGCUAACUAAACCAGACGAUUGGAAGUGUCUGGUCAAACAGUGAGGUGUGAUAUGAGUCAAAUGCUUAUAUCUUUAACAUUGAGCUGUGACGAGGAGCGAAGUUUAGUAGCGAAGUUAGUGAUGUCACACUGCCAAGAAAAGCUUCUAGCGAUACAUAUACUCUACCCGUACCGCAAACCGACACAGGUAGUCGAGGCGAGUAGCCUCAGGUGAGCGAGAGAACUCUCGUUAAGGAACUCGGCAAAAUGGCCCCGUAACUUCGGGAGAAGGGGCGCUGAUUUUAGAUCAGCCGCAGUGAAUAGGCCCAAGCAACUGUUUAUCAAAAACACAGCUCUCUGCUAAAUCGUAAGAUGAUGUAUAGGGGGUGACGCCUGCCCGGUGCUGGAAGGUUAAGAGGAGUGCUUAGCGUAAGCGAAGGUAUGAAUUGAAGCCCCAGUAAACGGCGGCCGUAACUAUAACGGUCCUAAGGUAGCGAAAUUCCUUGUCGGGUAAGUUCCGACCCGCACGAAAGGCGUAAUGAUUUGGGCACUGUCUCAACGAGAGACUCGGUGAAAUUUUAGUACCUGUGAAGAUGCAGGUUACCCGCGACAGGACGGAAAGACCCCAUGGAGCUUUACUGCAGUUUGAUAUUGAGUAUCUGUACCACAUGUACAGGAUAGGUAGGAGCCUAUGAUAACGGGACGCCAGUUUCGUUUGAGGCGUUGUUGGGAUACUACCCUUGUGUUAUGGCUACUCUAACCCAGAUAGGCAAUCCCUAUCGGAGACAGUGUCUGACGGGCAGUUUGACUGGGGCGGUCGCCUCCUAAAAGGUAACGGAGGCGCCCAAAGGUUCCCUCAGACUGGUUGGAAAUCAGUCGUAGAGUGU
rnacentral:rRNA from 1 species